AUAACUGUAAGUAUCAUUUGUAGGUUGAGAAAAUCGCGAUAUCACUGCCGUUUUCUUGUAUUCUUGGUCUUCUUGCAUCCAUGACCGCAUCAACCAUGGUAAUGAGAAGAUUUGUCUGGAUUUACGCAUCUGUCCAGUUUGCGUUGGUUGUUCUCUUCGCCCAUAUAUUUUACUCUGUGGUUAGUGCUCUUCAACACAUCUUUUUUUCUUCCCUUGUGAGACAUAUAUUGGUUAAACGUGGUGCAAGGCAUAUCAUUUAAGCUAAAAGGACUUGUGAGCUUUUGGUUUAGCCAAUAUAGAUCAAGACUUUUGAGAUCUAUACGAACAAAACUCGACAUAAAUGUGCAUCCUUUUAGCCAAUAUAGAACAAGAAUUUUGAGAAGGCUAGAGCAACAGCUGAACCAGGCUCAGACGCCGCCCCAACCGCUGGAUCCAACCUCCUCUCUGCAUCAUUCGAAUGCCUUAUAGAGCCAAGAAGUGGAAAGAAGAUUUUACAUUUAUACAGUAGUUUGGUUAAUGUUGUGUAAUAUUUUGUAUAAAAAGAAAAGAGAAAGUGAUCAUAGAAUGCUUAAAGAUUGUUCCUUUUGUUUGUUUUGCUUCUUUACAUACACAUUUAUAUUGUUGUAAGUUUGUAACUUUGAGUUGCUCAAAUCUCUGCAAAUGAAA